rnacentral:rRNA from 1 species
UAAUACAGAGGGUGCAAGCGUUAAUCGGAAUUACUGGGCGUAAAGCGCGCGUAGGUUGGUAAAUGUGUUGGCUGUGAAAUCCCCGAGCUCAACUUGGGACGGUCAGCCAAAACUGUUUACCUAGAGUAUGGUAGAGGAAAGUGGAAUUUCAGGUGUAGCGGUGAAAUGCGUAGAUAUCUGAAGGAACAUCAGUGGCGAAGGCGACUUUCUGGACCAAUACUGACACUGAGGCGCGAAAGCGUGGGGAGCAAACAGG